GGGGUCUUGCGGCGGCUAUAAUGCAAGUCGAACGGUUGUAGCAAUACAAUAGUGGCGCACGGGUGCGUAACACGUAUGCAACCUACCUUAUAGACGGGGAUAGCCUUUGGAAACGGAGAUUAAUACCCGAUAGUAAUAUUGACUGGCAUCAGUUUAUAUUUAAAGAUUUAUCGCUAUAAGCUGGGCAUGCGUCCAAUUAGUUAGUUGGUGAGGUAACGGCUCACCAAGACGAUGAUUGGUAGGGGAACUGAGAGGUUAAUCCCCCACACUGGCACUGAGAUACGGGCCAGACUCCUACGGGAGGCAGCAGUAGAGAAUAUUGGGCAAUGGAGGCAACUCUGACCCAGCCAUGCCGCGUGCAGGAUGAAGGCGUUAUGCGUUGUAAACUGCUUUUAUAUAGGAAGAAAUAGACCUUGCGAGGUAAGUUGACGGUACUAUAUGAAUAAGCACCGGCUAACUCCGUGCCAGCAGCCGCGGUAAUACGGAGGGUGCAAGCGUUGUCCGGAUUUAUUGGGUUUAAGGGUGCGUAGGCGGUUUAUUAAGUCAGUGGUGAAAGACGGUCGCUCAACGAUUGCAGUGCCAUUGAUACUGGUAGACUUGAGUGAGAUUGAGGUAGCUGGAAUGGAUAGUGUAGCGGUGAAAUGCAUAGAUAUUAUCCAGAACACCAAUUGCGUAGGCAAGUUACUAAGUCUCAACUGACGCUGAGGCACGAAAGUGUGGGUAUCAAACAGGAUUAGAUACCCUGGUAGUCCACACUGUAAACGAUGAUAACUAACUGUUGGCUUUUGGGUCAGUGGUACAGAGAAAUCGUUAAGUUAUCCACCUGGGGAGUACGCCGGCAACGGUGAAACUCAAGGAAUUGACGGGGGUCCGCACAAGCGGUGGAGCCAUGGUGGUUUAAUUCGACGAUACGCGAGGAACCUUACCUAGGCUAGAAUGGUUGAAGGAAUGUAUCAGAAAUGGUGCAGUCAGCAAUGACCUGAAACAAGGUGCUGCA
rnacentral:rRNA from 1 species